UUAUUAGAUAUUAAGCCAAUAUUCCGCAAGGUCUAUUGUGGUGAAUCAUAGUAACUGAUCGAAUCCCGGGUCUCCGGGAUAAAUCAUUCAAGUUUCUGCCCUAUCAGCUUUCGAUGGUAGUGUAUUGGACUACCAUGGCAGUCACGGGUAACGGAGAAUUGGGGUUCGGUUCCGGAGAGGGAGCCUGAGAAACGGCUACCACAUCUACGGAAGGCAGCAGGCGCGUAAAUUACCCAAUCCUGAUUCAGGGAGGUAGUGACAAGAAAUAACAACCUGGCGGCCAUCCGGCCGUACGGGAUUUGCAAUGAGAACAAUUUAAACCCCUUAUCGAGGAACGAUUGGAGGGCAAGUCUGGUGCCAGCAGCCGCGGUAAUUCCAGCUCCAAUAGCGUAUGUUAAAGUUGUUGCAGUUAAAAAGCUCGUAGUCCAAACUGCAAAGUAUCUAAUUUAAAUGGAAAUGGUGUCUCUUUCGUUGGCGUCAUUUGACUCUUUUAGUUGUGAAGCUAGUCCAAGACUCGUUCUUGGGUUAGUCUUUCCGCUAGCUGAGUCGCGUCAAUGCAAUUAGACAUCCCAGCUUUGCUUGUUAAGUUUGAAGUACUUUAUCAUUCGAUGUACCAAAGUGGCUUCACUGUCAUUUUUGGCUACUCGAGUGGUAACCUUAAGGACUUCAAUAGUUUACCUUGAGAAAACUAGAGUGUUCAAAGCAGGCGAAAUUAAAAUUUCUCUCGCAACUGAAUACAUUAGCAUGGGAUAAUAGAAUAGGACAUUUAUGGGAAGUAGUUUUAGCUUAACUUAACUUGCCUCCGGGUGAGUCUUGUUUUUGCGGACUACUCUCUCUUGGUCCUAUUAUGUUUUUGAUCGGUGGUUCAAGGACCAAUGUAAUGAUUAAUAGGAACGGUUGGGGACAUUCAUAUUGCAUGGCUAGAGGUGAAAUUCUUGGAUUCAUGCAAGAUGAACUGCUGCGAAAGCGUUUGUCAAAGACGUUUUCAUUGAUCAAGAACGAAAGUUAGGGGAGCAAAGACGAUCAGAUACCGUCGUAGUCCUAACUAUAAACGAUGCCGACUAGGGAUCGGUGGGCGUUAAUAUAAAAUUGAUGUUUGGAGUUUACUGGAUUGGUUUGGGUCAAUCUUUGUUGAUUGGUCCCCUUUCCUUGCUCUCAUCAAGAAAUGACCCCAUCGGCACCUCAAUUUGAUUACUUCUCAAUGGGAAACCAAAGUUUUUGGGUUCCGGGGGGAGUAUGGUCGCAAGGCUGAAACUUAAAGGAAUUGACGGAAGGGCACCACCAGGAGUGGAGUUUGCGGC
rnacentral:rRNA from 1 species